AGCCAAACUUCUGAAAGCAUGUUAAGCUUGGUGAAGAGAUCAUAACAGCUUUCUUGAAUAACUGAAGAUACGGAGGCACUACUAGUAGUGCUUGAUGAAGUAAGCCCCGCUGUUGGACCCUAGCAAGCAAAACAAGAUCUGUUAUAUACAAACUUAAUAAACAUGCACAUAGAAUAAAAUUUUUUGCAAACUUUACCAGUUUAAAUAAACAGAAUGUUUUGAAUACUCCAGGGAAUACCUGGGAAAGGAGAAAAAGGUGAAAAAGGCAUUCCUGGAUUCCCCGGAUUGCGGGGUAGUCCUGGUUCUCCUGGACCAGCAGGCUUUCCAGGAAUAAAGGGAGAAAUGGGUGUUGCUGGUUUUCCUGGGAUACCUGGCUAUCCAGGCAUCAAGGUAAAAAACAAACAAAAAACCAAACCACAAAAAAAACAAACACAUGCACAUUUCCCUAUAUAAAUGCUAAUGAUUCUUCCCAAGUCUACCCACUUAUUAGAUCAUUGCCUUUUCUACAAAUAUAAUUACUUUUACGAUAUACUGUUUUCAGGAUACUCAGAACAGUGAUAGUAAAUAGCAAUGAGUAAACAUUUCUGCUUGGUGCAUGUGAGAGUGGGAAUUCCAUGGAGUGAUUUUUAUACAACUCUACUUUUAGCAGCAAUUUCAUCAUAAUCUCUGAUGAGAAAAGGAAAUAAGUUGUGGCUUUUUCAAACUUGCCUUAAUUAGACCACUGCUAAAGACACAACUGAAAGCAGACAAAUAAAAAGCAACAAACAUAAUUUUCA
rnacentral:lncRNA from 1 species